GACGAACGCUGGCGGCGUGCUUAACACAUGCCAGUCGAACGGAAAGGCCCUGCUUUUGUGGGGUGCUCGAGUGGCGAACGGGUGAGUAACACGUGAGUAACCUGCCCUUGACUUUGGGAUAACUUCAGGAAACUGGGGCUAAUACCGGAUAGGAGCUCCUGCUGCAUGGUGGGGGUUGGAAAGUUUCGGCGGUUGGGGAUGGACUCGCGGCUUAUCAGCUUGUUGGUGGGGUAGUGGCUUACCAAGGCUUUGACGGGUAGCCGGCCUGAGAGGGUGACCGGCCACAUCGGGACUGAGAUGCGGCCCAGACUCCUACGGGAGGCAGGGGUGGGGAAUAUUGCACAAUGGGCGGAAGCCUGAUGCAGCAACGCAGCGUGCGGGAUGACGGCCUUCGGGUUGUAAACCGCUUUCGCCUGUGACGAAGCGUGAGUGACAGUAAUGGGUAAAGAAGCACCGGCUAACUACGUG
rnacentral:rRNA from 1 species